UCGAGGAUCUUUGGCAAUGGGCGCAAGCCUGACCAAGCGACGCCGCGUGUGCGAUGAAGGCCUUCGGGUUGUAAAGCACUGUCGAGGGGGAGUAAGCCCGCAAGGGUUGAACUAUCCCUGGAGGAAGCACGGGCUAAGUUCGUGCCAGCAGCCGCGGUAAGACGAACCGUGCGAACGUUGUUCGGAAUCACUGGGCUUAAAGGGCGCGUAGGCGGGUUCGCAAGUCUGUGGUGAAAUCCUCCAGCUUAACUGGAGAAGUGCCAUGGAUACUGCGAGCCUCGAGGAGGGUAGGGGCAUCUGGAACAGUAGGUGGAGCGGUGAAAUGCGUUGAUAUCUACUGGAACUCCGGUGGCGAAGGCGAGGUGCUGGACCCUUUCUGACGCUGAGGCGCGAAAGCCAGGGGAGCGAACGGGAUUAGAUACCCCGGUAGUCC
rnacentral:rRNA from 1 species